rnacentral:rRNA from 1 species
GACGAACGCUGGCGGCGUGCCUAAUACAUGCAAGUCGAACGAGAGCGACCGGUGCUUGCCCUGGUCAAUCUAGUGGCGAACGGGUGAGUAACACGUGGGUAACCUGCCCAUCAGAGGGGGAUAACAUCCGGAAACGGAUGCUAAAACCGCAUAGGUCUUCGAGCCGCAUGGCUUGAAGAGGAAAAGAGGCGCAAGCUUCUGCUGAUGGAUGGACCCGCGGUGCAUUAGCUAGUUGGUGAGGUAACGGCUCACCAAGGCCGCGAUGCAUAGCCGACCUGAGAGGGUGAUCGGCCACAUUGGGACUGAGACACGGUCCAAACUCCUACGGGAGGCAGCAGUAGGGAAUCUUCCGCAAUGGGCGCAAGUCUGACGGAGCAACGCCGCGUGAGUGAAGAAGGUCUUCGGAUCGUAAAACUCUGUUGUUAGAGAAGAACAAGUGCUAGAGUAACUGUUAGCGUCUUGACGGUAUCUAAACAGAAAGCCACGGCUAACUACGUG